UACAGAGGUCUCAAGCGUUGUUCGGAUUCAUUGGGCGUAAAGGGUGCGUAGGCGGCGCGGUAAGUCGGGUGUGAAAUCUCGGAGCUUGACUCCGAAACUGCAUUCGAUACUGCCGUGCUUGAGGACUGGAGAGGAGACUGGAAUUUACGGUGUAGCGGUGAAAUGCGUAGAUAUCGGAAGGAACAUCAGUGGCGAAAGCGGCUUCCUGGACCAGUACCGACGUUCAGGCACGAAAGCGUGGGGAGCAAACAGG
rnacentral:rRNA from 1 species